rnacentral:sRNA from 1 species
AACAAGUCGCAUGAGGGAUAGCAGCGAUAUCCUUUUGUGAAGAGAAACGGAGCAAAAGAUUUAGCGGAUAGCCCGACCCGCU